rnacentral:rRNA from 1 species
GCGUAAGCGCACGCAGGCGGUCUGUCAAGUCGGAUGUGAAAUCCCCGGGCUCACACCUGGGAACUGCAUUCGAAACUGGCAGGCUAGAGUCUUGUAGAGGGGGGUAGAAUUCCAGGUGUAGCGGUGAAAUGCGUAGAGAUCUGGAGGAAUACCGGUGGCGAAGGCGGCCCCCUGGACAAAGACUGACGCUCAGGUGCGAAAGCGUGGGGAGCAAACAGGAUUAGAUACCCUGGUAGUCCACGCCGUAAACGAUGUCGACUUGGAGGUUGUGCCCUUGAGGCGUGGCUUCCGGAGCUAACGCGUUAAGUCGACCGCCUGGGGAGUACGGCCGCAAGGUUAAAACUCAAAUGAAUUGACGGGGGCCCGCACAAGCGGUGGAGCAUGUGGUUUAAUUCGAUGCAACGCGAAGAACCUUACCUACUCUUGACAUCCAGAGAACUUUCCAGAGAUGGAUUGGUGCCUUCGGGAACUCUGAGACAGGUGCUGCAUGGCUGUCGUCAGCUCGUGUUGUGAAAUGUUGGGUUAAGUCCCGCAACGAGCGCAACCCUUAUCCUUUGUUGCCAGCGGUUAGGCCGGGAACUCAAAGGAGACUGCCAGUGAUAAACUGGAG